rnacentral:tRNA from 1 species
GUGUAGCUCAGGGGUAGAGCACAACCUUGCCAAGGUUGGGGUCGAGGGUUCGAAUCCCUUCACCCGCUCCA